GGGAAGCUUUGCAUCAAUGUUAGACCCCCAUUCAAGGUCAUGUUCAUCCCGGAAGAGCGGAGGCAGAUUGUGUUAUUUGCACAAGGUUUCCCAAUCUCUCCUGAAGCUUAUCCUUUUUGAUAGAAUCGAUCAAUUAGCCCGUCUCAAGGUCUUCCUAGAUAUGCGGCCUUGUUGGAACAAAUGGAGUUGGAAAAUCCACAUCACUUAAAGUCUUAGCUGGCAAGCUGAAACCUCAUAAUCCGGCAAGAGAUCAUUACAUACUUCUAGGGUUCUGAGCUUCAGAAUUAUUUUACAUGUAUAUUGGAGGACCUGAAGAGUUGUUUAAUCCAGCAAUGAAACGCAGGUCAUCGCCCAUUCUACUCGCAGCAUCGGCACA